rnacentral:lncRNA from 1 species
GGGAGAGGCUUCUUCAGGGCCUGCAGGGGAAGGCGAUGGGAGAGAGGAAGGGGGUCAGCAGAGAUCCAGCUGGCACCUUCAGGGAAGAAUGUGAUACCGUCCAGGAGGAGAAGUUGGCGGGUGCCAUUAUCAGACGGCCUAAAGGCAACCUUUGUGCAUCAUUUGAGGGCCAGCCCCAAGGAUGAAAACUCACAGCCUCUACCACAGCCACUGACUCACUGGAUCGUUCUUAGCCCAAAAGGCAAAGAGAUUGGCAAUGGCAAGUUCAAAGGAACUGGCCAAUGACAAGCCUGAGGAGGGGAUACGCAGAAGGCACGUCUGUGAGCGGGCAUAUUGCCUCGUGUCCAUCAGAUUGGCAUUCUGGACGCCAUUCUCUGAUCCUCAGUAAUUUGAGAAGCAUUCCUGCAGUGAAGGAUCAAAGUCUUGCCCUCUUUCCUCGUUCUCGAAUGCAACCGGCAGCCAGCAGAAGUGCCUGCUUUGACUGAGGAAUCUGGCAGGGCCGGCCCCCUCUCCAGACCCUUGUGCUUUCUCUAAUGGUCUCCCAGUGGGCCCUGUGAGUCUGAUCUGCCGGGAAGAGGGUCCCCAUCUCUGGCACCUCCUACUCUUCCAGCUGAUCUUGGAUUUCGUGCUUUUGGCAAAGAUGAGCGCUUGUCCCUGCCCAUCCUCUAAGCUCAAAUAGUAACAUGACCGAGAAUGCUGCUGACUUCCUGACAAAUCCCUGUUUUCCCAUCCAGCCUCACCAUUGACCAGUUCUUUCAGGCUCUGCUUGGCUCUCUUUUUCCAGUCUGUGCAUCUCAGAAGCUAACAUGAAUAGCCGCAUGCAUGAUGAAGAGCCGCAGCAUUUAGACAGCUAGAGAUACAUCCAGAGUCCCCUAAGGUGCUUUCCUGUCACAGUCCUUCCCAUCCAGGGGCCCCCGAAUGUCAUCCUACCAAGGAGAGAUGGGGCCCAAUGACAUAGUCACCUAUCCCGGGCUGUCAGCUCCACGAGGCCAAAAUACGCCCUGAGCUGCGGGCUUGGUCUUUUUGGGCUUGUCCAGGGCCAGCUGGGCCCACCACUGGUGUCCUAGUCUAGGCCAAUGUUUUUCAAUUUUGGGGGACCCUAAAGCCACGGUAAGAAAUAAAUCUAGUAAAGUUUUCAUCACCAGCCAGUACAGAUAUUUAGAUAUAAUGUAAGUAUAGGUAUGGAUACAUGUACAUACAAUUGAAAAAAAGAAAAACUCACUUUCUGUAAGCAAUACACUGGGGCUCUUGUUUCAAAGUGCUGCCUGUAAACCACUAAAUUGAUUUCACAACCCACUAAUGGUCUGUGACCCCUAGUAUGGAAAACUCUGCUGUGUGAGGCAGGCGAUGCGUCUUCUGCCUUGCACCUUGGCAGGCAGCCUUUUAUGCUCAAGGAAUACCAAGGAAAGUUCCCAAUAUGAGCUGAUCCAAGAGGCCCUCUCCACCCACCACGUCCCCCUGGGGAGGCUGUAAGAAGUCUGGCUUCUCUGCUGCCUAAGGAGUUUCUGCUCCUGGCAACAUCUCACAGAGGCCAGGCUGAGCACAGGGCAGGACUCGGCCCCCAUCCCUCUCCAUGGCUGUCUUCCCUGAACCGCUCCAUUCUCCUCUUCUUUCUUCCCAUUGUUUACAAGAUUUUGGGGUGAACGGCAGCUGAACCUGGGGCGCCUCGCAGCUCUAGUGGGAG